rnacentral:rRNA from 1 species
AGUGAACGCUGGCGGUAGGCCUAACACAUGCAAGUCGAACGGCAGCACAGUAAGAGUGCGCCUCUACGGGUGGCGAGGGGCGGACGGGUGAGGAAUACAUCGGAAACUACUUUUUCGUGGGGGAUAACGUAGGGACACUUAUGCUAAUACCGCAUACGACCUACGGGAGAAAGCAGUGGAUCUUCGGACCUUGCGCGAUUGAAUGAGCCGAUGCCGGAUUAGCUAGUUGGCGGGGUAAAGGCCCACCAAGGCAACGAUACGUAGCGGGUCUGAGAGGAUGAUCAGCCACACUGGAACUGAGACACGGUCCAGACUCCUACGGGAGGCAGCAGUGGGGAAUAUUGGGCAAUGGGCGAAAGCCUGAUCCAGCCAUGCCGCGUGGGUGAAGAAGGCCUUCGGGUUGUAAAGCCCUUUUAUUGGGAAAGAAAAGCAGCAGGUUUAUCCCCCGCUGUUCUGACGGUACCCAAAGAAUAAGCACCGGCUAACUUCGUG